UACGAAGGGGGCGAGCGUUGUUCGGAAUCACUGGGCGUAAAGCGUGCGUAGGCGGCCGUGCAAGUUAGAAGUGAAAGCCCCAGGCUCAACUUGGGAAUUGCUUUUAAAACUACAUGGCUCGAAUUCGGGGGAGGAUAGCGGAAUUCUCAGUGUAGCAGUGAAAUGCGUAGAUAUUGAGAGGAACACCAGUGGCGUAAGCGGCUAUCUGGACCGACAUUGACGCUGAGGCACGAAAGCGUGGGGAUCAAACAGG
rnacentral:rRNA from 1 species